rnacentral:rRNA from 1 species
CUACGGGCUGCUGCAGUCGAGAAUCUUCCGCAAUGGACGAAAGUCUGACGGAGCGACGCCGCGUGCGGGAUGAAGGCCUUCGGGUUGUAAACCGCUGUCAGUGGGGAGGAAAUGCAUCAGGGUUCUCCCUGGUGUUUGACCGAUCCGCAGAGGAAGCGCAGGCUAAGUUCGUGCCAGCAGCCGCGGUAACACGAACGGCGCGAACGUUAUUCGGAAUCACUGGGCUUAAAGAGUUCGUAGGCGGCCUUUCAAGUCGGGGGUGAAAUCCCUCGGCUCAACCGAGGAAUUGCGCCUGAUACUGUUGGGCUUGAGGGGGAUAGGGGUGAGCGGAACUGAUGGUGGAGCGGUGAAAUGCGUUGAUAUCAUCAGGAACACCGGUGGCGAAGGCGGCUCACUGGAUCUCUUCUGACGCUGAGGAACGAAAGCUAGGGGAGCGAACGGGAUUAGAUACCCCAGUAGUC